GGCUUCCUCGCGACGGUCAACCGUAAACUCCGCCAGGCCCGGAAGGGAGCAACGGUAGCGGUGAUGCUGGGUGCCGGGGAG
rnacentral:SRP_RNA from 1 species